CCAGGAAGACAAAGGGGCUCUAUUAAACACCCUUGUCCUAUUAAGGAGACCCUAUUUACACAAAACACGUCUUGAUUAGAAUAAAUUAUAUCAUUUAUAGGAUUUAUCUGGCUUAAAAGCCAACUUCGAGGAAACUAGAAACCAGGCAUAAGCAAAUGUAUUCAAAUUUAUUGCAACUCCACAUUUCGACCCACGAAUUUUCUUGAAAACAUUGAAUAGACCCUCCCCCCACACCUCUAGUCAUCUAUUUAUACCCAUGGCCCCACCUUAUUUUUGCCCCCCUCCCUCUUCCAUAAAUAAUUACCGGUCCCUAACUCCAAGAAAAAUAUGCGCACUUCGCAGAACAUUUAUAACAAUUUAUAAUUGAUUACCUUUUCCUCAGACUGGGUAACCACAACAGAAGUUGCCAAUAGGCUCUUUCAAGGUUAACCACUUCAGCCCUGAUGCACUCUACUUUAUUACUUUACUCUGUCUAAUGCCAGACGAUUUUACUCGUCAAAGGGAGAGCACUGGCGCUUAAUGGGUUAAGGACGCUAACUUCAAUAUAUUGUUUUGACCAUUGCCUUUACACCCCAGGCAAAUUUACCUAUAGGGAAUUCCAUUGUGUUUGUACCCUUUGCACUAUUGUGUUUCAUUAUGGCGUCUAGAUCUUGAAAGGGUCCAUUAUUGCGGCCCCAACAUUUCCCAGUUAAAAACACAAUACAUUGAUCGUGAAAUUACCGAAAUACUGCAUGUUUACAAGCCUGACACCUACCGGCGAAGUAUUUCUGUCUUGUUACGCUACACCAUGUUCUUUUAACCGCCUAUUGACCGCCUAACUUCAAUAUAGUAACAAUCAAUUGUUUGCUAACAAUCCGCGAAAAGCCGAAACCUAUAAUCGCUGGCGGCACAGGUCCCCCA